rnacentral:rRNA from 1 species
UCGUCAGCUCGUUGUCGUGAGUAUUGGUUUGGGUUAACGUCCCGCAACGAGCCGCCAACCCUUAUUGUUUAGUUGCCAUCACUCAGUUUGGGCACUCUAGCGAGACUGCCGGUAAUAACCGGAGAAGGUGGGGAUGACGUCAAGUCCUCAUGGCCCUUAUGGGUAGGGCUUCACACGUCAUACAAUGGUCGGUACAGAGGGUUGCCAAGCCGCGAGGCGGAGCCAGUCCCACAAAGCCGAUCGUAGUCCGGAUUGUUCUCUGCAGCUCGAGAGCAUGAAGUCGGAAUCGCUAGUAAUCGCAGGUCAGCAUACUGCGGUGAAUACGUUCCCGGGUCUU